GAGAGAGAGAGAGAGAGGGAGAGAAAUAGGAUCAUAUGAGACCACACCUCUUAUGUGAGAACACUAUUAUAUGUGAGAACUCAUUAUAACCAUUGGAUCAAUUGCAUCCAACGGUCACAAUACAAUCCCGGUUUAAACAAAACCAUUUUAUUUCAGAACACUUUCUGCAUUUUUUCUCCCUCCUCCUUCCUCUUUCACGCACAAUUUCUCUCUCCUCAUUCAAUUUCAUUCGGUUUUCUUCUUUCUUUCUCUCUGAAAUCUCAUCACAACUUCUCCAAUCUUCAUCAAUUGUUCGUCAAUAUGAUGCUUUGAAGGCGUUCCUAUCAAGGUCAGCUUCCAGCAACUCCUUGUCUGCCUCUGGGAAGGCUUCUGACCAGCCCAAGCGAACACCAGUAUCAAGUGCUGAGAUGGAAGCUAUACUGUUGGGUGGCUGCGUUUAAUCUCAUUGAAGUAGUCAAUGACUAUGUCUCAUAAUAACAUUUUGGUGAAAAAAUUGGUAUUGGAUUUCUUUAAACAUAUUGUUGCUGCUGUUUCAACCUUGGUAAAGAUUAAAGAAGAGGCAGCAUAGGUUAAAUUGUUGAAAUUGAAGUUGUUAAAGUUGAGGUUGUAAGAAAUUGUAGUUUCGCAAAAUUCAAGUUUUGCUCUAUAAUAGUUGGAAGCAAGUGAUUUGCCUGGUAGUUCUUUGGAGAACAGUCCUCAUAGUUUUAGAGACAAUCAAACUCAAGCUAACAGCACAAAUGAGGGCAAUGAAUGUACCAAAUGGUCCUCAGAUUGAGGUCCUUGAUGGUGCUCAAUUAAAAAAAUGAGCUUGCAAAUGAGAUCCUAAAUGAUGCUCAACAGGAUGAGUCUGCAAACGAGAUCCUUGCUGGGACUUGUGAACAAAGUGAUGUUGAAGGAAAUGUUGAUGUCGGUCCAUCUACUGAUUUAAAUCAAUUGAGAGAAGGUAGUGAAUGCACUAAUUUACAUCAACUGAAAGUUCAAGCUAAAAUCACGCUAGAACUCGCCUCAUAUGGGGAGAAUAGAUCAGAGACAAUUACUAGUGGGCUUGCUGUAGGUUCUUCAAAAGAGGGCUACUUGCUGAUGAAUUUCUCAGGAACCUUGAAGAGGUGGAAGUGAGGAGCUUAUUGAUUUAGAAGAAGCCCAUGAAAUGUCUCAUCAUUUUAACACUCAAAAAGAAAAUAUUAACUUACUUAGUGAAUUAGAUGAUGAAGUCCAUGUAUCUGAAGAGGUAAAUGGUCAAAGUAUGUGUAUAUGUGCUUCUUCAUUUAUUUGUCUUUAUAAAUCAAGUUUUAAUUACCUUAUUGUUGGCUUAAUAAAGAACAAUGAAUUGCCAAUAUUAUUAGCUUGAAGGGAGGCACUAUAGGGUGUAUUGUAGUAGUUACUACCUAAAUGGCAAAGGCUGGACUACACUGUAGAAAAACAUUGUUUUCA